GGCUCGGUGGUGGAUGGUCCACGUCUGCUCUCUUUACGUGAUUGUGAAAAAUGUUAGCCAGCAGCAGGAGCCUGUUCGAACCAGGCCCGAGCCA